rnacentral:lncRNA from 1 species
UGUGACGUUAUUUAAGUUAUGACGUCAUAUUCAAUGUAAACAAAGAAACGCUGUCAUUAGGUAACGUUUUUUUAAUAACAAACAUUUUUUUUUUAAAUGAAUUAGUAUUAGUUCCCUUCUUAGACUGAUAAAUAUACAUUUUAUUCAAAGUCUCAUGUAAACAAGACCGGAAACGGAAGUAGAUUUCUGCGCCGAUCCGGAAAUUCAAAAACGCGAC